AGCCAUCUCCUCUUCUCAGCCCCUCACUGUAGCACUCACAAAACCGUUAUCAGGUUCACUGCUCCUUUAAAGAGACCGUACACAGCCCCAGCCUGCUAGUUUUCCUGAGGAUUUUACUCUUCAGUUUGAAACACUGCACUGAGAUGGUUGGGUAACAAAACAAGGAAACUCAGAAAAUAGACCAAACUGGAAGCAGAGGACGAACUGCUAGGCACACCCUUCCCUCGGCGGAUUGCAUUCCUUCACGUUCCCAGUCCUGGGCAGGGCAGCAGAGGGGCCCUGACUGAAUGGAUUUGCAGAAGGCCCCCAGAGGUGCUGGGACCCACCUUCCAUAAGGACGGAGGAGCACACGACCUGUCUAGCUAGCAGCUGAACAGCGCCGAUGUGUGUCACAGCUAGUCAUUAUUGUAGUGACAGACUGAUGGGCAUGCUACUUCACAGCAGAGAGACUGUCCUUUAUCCUAAGAACAUACAAGGGUGGAAGCAACCCUGGUACAAGCAUUGCUACACCAUUCCACCAUGAAUCCUCCGUUCUGACUUGCAGGGGAACACUACUGAGUUCACAACAGUGAGUGAAGGUGAACCAGACCUGCCAGAGCGGCAUCCUCAUCAUCGGAACUCGAUAACAUGAAGG